AUACGAAGGGGGCUAGCGUUGUUCGGAUUUACUGGGCGUAAAGCGCACGUAGGCGGAUUGAUUAGUUAGGGGUGAAAUCCCGAGGCUCAACCUCGGAACUGCCUCUAAAACUGUCAAUCUCGAGACCGGAAGAGGUGAGUGGAACUCCUAGUGUAGAGGUGGAAUCCGUAGAUAUUAGGAAGAACACCAGUGGCGAAGGCGGCUCACUGGUCCGGUACUGACGCUGAGGUGCGAAAGCGUGGGGAGCAAACAGGAUUAGAAACCCGUGUAGUCC
rnacentral:rRNA from 1 species